GUGGAGCAAUCCAUGAGUACAGUGGCGUACGGGUGAGUAACACGUGACUAACCUACCCUCGAGUGGGGAAUAACCUCGGGAAACCGGGGCUAAUACCGCAUAACAUCUACGGAUCAAAUGCGUAAGCAGCUUGAGGAGGGGGUCGCGGCCGAUUAGCUAGUUGGCGGGGUAAUGGCCCACCAAGGCAAUGAUCGGUAGCCGGCCUGAGAGGGCGCACGGCCACACUGGAACUGAAACACGGUCCAGACUCCUACGGGAGGCAGCAGUGGGGAAUUUUGCGCAAUGGGGGAAACCCUGACGCAGCAACGCCGCGUGGAGGAUGAAGCCCCUUGGGGUGUAAACUCCUUUCGAUCGGGACGAUUAUGACGGUACCGGAUGAAGAAGCACCGGCUAACUCUGUGCCAGCAGCCGCGGUAAUACAGAGGGUGCAAGCGUUGUUCGGAAUUAUUGGGCGUAAAGGGUGCGUAGGCGGUGCGGUAAGUCUGUUGUGAAAUCUCCGG
rnacentral:rRNA from 1 species